ensembl:lncRNA
UGCAUUUCAAGGUCCUGCACCCAUCCGUCGGUAAACUGUACCUGGGCUUGUUGCAGUGACCUGAAGUUACUAAACUUCAUGAGUGUGUGCACUCACUCCAAGAACCGUAUAAUUAUAAAUAUGCAUAUAAAUAUGCUACGAUGAGAUAGCUGACUUCAUCUAACUAGCAAAUGUUGUCCAGGCUACGUUGGUGAUGCAGUUUUUUUUAAUGUGUAUGAUAUUUUUGUCAUGCGAUUUUAAAGCUGGUCCUACAACCGCAUCCAAGAAUAACAUGCAGCUUAUCUCAGAACUGUCGGUGAAAAUUAUUCUUGGAGCUAGGUUUAAUUGAGCUGCAUUUUAAAGAGGUGCAAUUUCACAAUUUGUGUAUAUUUUCUAAGUUCACUAUUUUGUCAUGUGUUGAGAAAAACACAGAUUUUAAAAUUACAUGGUCUAAUAUUUACAUUUAGCAUAACUGCAACAUUAUUUUUUCGUUUUUUUUUUUUUAAAGACUCGAAAGGACUUUAAAUUCAAAGUUUCAGACUUGUGACUUGACUCGGACUUUUACACCAGUGACUUGAGACUCGACUCUGACUUGCCUGACAUUACUUGAGACUUGACUUGAGACUUGAGGAUAAAGACUUGAGACUUACUUGAGACUUGCAAAACAAUGACUUGGUCCCACCUCUGAUUAUUAGAAACCAUUUCUUAUUGUCUCAGUGAAAAGCACACAAUGAAAUACACUGCAAAAAUUGAGGAAAUGUUUAAUCAUCACUGCACAACCCCAAAACAGUUACAUUUCAGAGACAUCCCGCUGUCCAGUCAGGAAGCAUAAACCAGUGUGAAUCUAUUUCACGCUUUCAUGUAAAUUAAAGUCACAACAGGCGCAGUGUCAAGACAAAAACAACUGAUCUCCCCAAAAAGGAAUGGUUUUGCAAGUGGUAACCACAGACUAGUGCUCUAGUCUGUUAUUUCUCCUGACUGAUUUUCCUCUAGUUUUGCUUUUUGUCAGUGUCCUUGUCACUGUGGGUAGCAUGAA